UGCGAUCUGCUCUCUCACAGGGCCGCUGCUCCAGUUGACUCAUGCUUCUCCCCCCUCACGCUUCUGACCUCAACACACCUCCCCUUUAUGAAGUCAAUGCCUCUAACAGGAAAGCCCUUGACCACCCACCACCAAGCCUGUGGACACAUCCGCCUCCGCACCCACCCCUUCCAGCCGGACUCUAAACUCCACCUCGUCUCAAAGAGCCCAUUCUUUGUUUGGUCCCCUCUCUGCUCCAUCUGUCAUUUUUUUCUGAGCCAUCUCCUUACCGUCAGCACCCGAGGAGAAGAACACAGUCCGCCUACUACCACUGGUCCGCUACAGUGUUCUCACCAGGGACCUCAUUGCUGUUAAGGCCAGUGGAGUCCUCACCUUGCUGGACAGCACCUGACCCUGCCCAGCAGUCCUCGACUUCUGGAAACAUCAUCUCGAUUUCGAUGAUGACCAAGUACUCUGAUUUUCUCCGACUUCUCUGGGUACAUCCUGUCAGUCUUUUUCAAGUCACCCAUUCCCUACGUGUUGGAGUCUUCGGGGGGCACUAAGCUAUCUUCUCCCGUCACCAUACACACUCUCGCUAGAACGUAGGUGGUAAUAAUAGACCUUCCUGGUGAGGAUGCUACGAAGAUUCAAGGAGAUGGUGCAUGUGAGCACUUAGAAGAAUAUUUGGCACAAGGAAGAUACCUCUCACCUUGGGAAGCCUGGUGUAAUCUUCUCAGACAACUUCUACACACUCCAUCAUCUCUAUGAACACGCAAUUCUGAGCUAUGUGCACGGCUGCCUGGAAUAGGGACCUCAUGUCCCCACCUGCUAGUGAUGAUGUCAUGUGGCAAAGCGUUGCCAGUAAGAUAUAAGAGGAAGUUGGGUACAACUUUAUCUGGAACCGUGAGAUCAGCCUGAGUGCAGAGGCCGAGCACAGCAGAGCAAUGAAUUGGGAAGGGCCUGGUCUGGACACCACGGAGCGCCUUCUGGCAGGACUCGAACAUUCUGCCCCGAUUUCUAGAUGAGCGGGAAAUAAAUCCUUAAUUUGGAUUUUUUUUUUUUUUUUUUUUUGUCUCUCACAACGAAAUCUAAUGAUAAUAUAUCAGGGUAUGCCCAUUUUUAACAUAAAAUGUAGCUACAGCUAGGAUUUUUUCAAUGUAUCUUCCUCGAACAAA